CGCCUUGCCAGCCCGCUCAGAAACUUAAAGGAAUUGACGGGGGCCCGCACAAGCGGUGGAGCAUGUGGUUUAAUUCGAUGAUACGCGAGGAACCUUACCUGGGCUCAAAUGUAUGUUGACGUAUUCUGAAAGGGAUACUUCUUCGGACAAUAUACGAGGUGCUGCAUGGUUGUCGUCAGCUCGUGCCGUGAGGUGUCGGGUUAAGUCCCAUAACGAGCGCAACCCCUACCUUUAGUUGCCAUCAGGUUAAGCUGGGGACUCUAAAGGAACUGCCUACGCAAGUAGUGAGGAAGGCGGGGAUGACGUCAAAUCAGCACGGCCCUUACGUCCAGGGCUACACACGUGCUACAAUGGCCGAUACAGAGGGCAGCUACCUGGUGACAGGAUGCAAAUCUCCAAAGUCGGUCUCAGUUCGGAUCGGAGUCUGCAACCCGACUCCGUGAAGUUGGAUUCGCUAGUAAUCGCGCAUCAGCCAUGGCGCGGUGAAUACGUUCCCGGGCCUU
rnacentral:rRNA from 1 species